AAAAAGAUAAAAUGUGGGUUCCUGUGUCAACGUUUGACUGUCCGUUUUAUAUAAAUUUUUUUUAUAAUUAGUAUUUUCAUUGUUGAUAGAUGAUAAAACAUGAUUAAUACUUUAUGCGUGACUUGUCUUUUUAAUUUUUUUUCAUAAUUUUUUUAAAUAAGACGGACGGUCAAACGUUAGACACGGAAACCAGAGUCUGUCUUUUUU
rfam:Oryza rufipogon genomic scaffold, chr05